rnacentral:pre_miRNA from 1 species
AAUAAACCGAUUUUUUAUUUUUUACAUUUAAUUUUUAACUCUUCGUUUUAUUCAAAAAAAUUUUACGAUUGAUAUUUUUGUUCUUAUUAGAUGAUAAAUCAUAAAUAGCACUUUACGUGUGACUAAUUUUUUUUUCUAAUUUCUUAAAUUUUUUUCAAAUAAGACGGAUGGUCAAACGUUGGACAUGAAAACUGAAGAAUUCAUUUUUU